GAUUUUGGACUUCUUAAAGGAUCCUUCACUGUCUACCCUGAAAUCUAAAACUGUGCAUUUAAGUGAUGUCACUGGGACAAUGAAGAAAAAAACAACUGAAGAAGAAAAGAGUAUGUUACAAUUCCCUUAUUUACAACAAAGUCGGAUAACAGGCUGACACCAGCUGGAACCAACAUGGCAGACAGCAGUCUGAGUAGGAAAGACUUGCUCAUUGAUGAGUGACCUUUGACCUCAGAGAGCCGGAAACUCCACCUUCAGAUCAUGCUCAUUCCACCAUUUUCUGAGCAAGCAGCCCAUGAAGCAUGUCAGGACAA
rnacentral:lncRNA from 10 species